rnacentral:rRNA from 1 species
GACGUAGGGCGCGAGCGUUGUCCGGAUUUAUUGGGCGUAAAGAGCGUGUAGGCGGCCAGGUAGGUCUGCUGUGAAAACUCGAGGCUCAACCUCGAGACGCCGGUGGAAACCGUAAGGCUAGAGUCCGGAAGAGGAGAGUGGAAUUCCUGGUGUAGCGGUGAAAUGCGCAGAUAUCAGGAGGAACACCCGUGGCGAAAGCGGCUCUCUGGGCCUGUACUGACGCUGAGGAACGAAAGCGUGGGGAGCGAACAGG